UUGCACAAUGGGCGCAAGCCUGAUGCAGCAACGCCGUGUGAGUGAAGAAGGUUUUCGGAUCGUAAAACUCUGUCCUAAGGGAAGAAACAAAUGACGGUACCUUAGGAGGAAGCCCCGGCUAACUACGUGCCAGCAGCCGCGGUAAUACGUAGGGGGCAAGCGUUAUCCGGAAUCACUGGGCGUAAAGGGUGCGUAGGCGGCUUAGCAAGCCAGGGGUGAAAGGCAUUGGCUCAACCAAUGUAAGCCUUUGGAACUGUUAAGCUUGAGUGCAGGAGAGGUAAGUGGAAUUCCUAGUGUAGAGGUGAAAUUCGUAGAUAUUAGGAGGAACACCAGUGGCGAAGGCGACUUACUGGACUGUAACUGACGCUGAUGCACGAAAGCGUGGGUAGCGAACAGGAUUAGAUACCCUGGUAA
rnacentral:rRNA from 1 species